rnacentral:rRNA from 1 species
AUUGAACGCUGGCGGCAUGCCUUACACAUGCAAGUCGAACGGCAGCACGGGUGCUUGCACCUGGUGGCGAGUGGCGAACGGGUGAGUAAUACAUCGGAACGUACCUUAUCGUGGGGGAUAACGCAGCGAAAGCUGUUCUAAUACCGCAUACGCCCUGAGGGGGAAAGCGGGGGAUCGCAAGACCUCGCGCGAUUAGAGCGGCCGAUGCCUGAUUAGCUUGUUGGUGGGGUAAAAGCCCACCAAGGCGACGACCAGUAGCUGGUCUGAGAGGACGAUCAGCCACACUGGGACUGAGACACGGCCCAGACUCCUACGGGAGGCAGCAGUGGGGAAUUUUGGACAAUGGGGGCAACCCUGAUCCAGCAAUGCCGCGUGAGUGAAGAAGGCCUUCGGGUUGUAAAGCUCUUUUGUCAGGGAAGAAACACCGGCUCUAACACAGUCCGGGAAUGACGGUACCUGAAGAAUAAGCACCGGCUAACUACGUGCCAGCAGCCGCCGUAA